GGGAUUGUAGUUCAAUUGGUCAGAGCACCGCCCUUUCAAGGCGGAAGCUGCGGGUUCGAGCCCCGUCAGUCCCG
rnacentral:tRNA from 1 species